rnacentral:rRNA from 1 species
UUGAGUGGGGGAUAACGUAGCGAAAGUUGCGCUAAUACCGCGUAUUCUGUGAGCAGGAAAGCAGGGGACCGCAAGGCCUUGCGCUCUUUGAGCGGCCGAUGUCAGAUUAGCUAGUUGGUGAGGUAAAGGCUUACCAAGGCGACGAUCUGUAGCGGGUCUGAGAGGAUGAUCCGCCAUACUGGAACUGAGACACGGUCCAGACUCCUACGGGAGGCAGCAGUGGGGAAUUUUGGACAAUGGGGGCAACCCUGAUCCAGCCCUGCCGCGUGAGUGAAGAAGGCCUUCGGGUUGUAAAGCUCUUUCGGCCGGGAAGAAAUCGCAUGGGCCAAUACCCUGUGCGGAUGACGGUACCGGAAUAAGAAGCACCGGCUAACUACGUGCCAGCAGCCGCGGUAAUACGUAGGGUGCGAGCGUUAAUCGGAAUUACUGGGCGUAAAGCGUGCGCAGGCGGUUUUGUAAGACAGGCGUGAAAUCCCCGGGCUUAACCUGGGAACUGCGUUUGUGACUGCAAGGCUAGAGUACGGCAGAGGGGGGUGGAAUUCCACGUGUAGCAGUGAAAUGCGUAGAGAUGUGGAGGAACACCAAUGGCGAAGGCAGCCCCCUGGGUCGAUACUGACGCUCAUGCACGAAAGCGUGGGUAGCAAACAGGAUUAGAUACCCUGGUAGUCCACGCCCUAAACUAUGUCAACUAGGUGUUGGGUGGGUAAAACCAUUUAGUACCGUAGCUAACGCGUGAAGUUGACCGCCUGGGGAGUACGGCCGCAAGGUUAAAACUCAAAGGAAUUGACGGGGACCCGCACAAGCGGUGGAUGAUGUGGAUUAAUUCGAUGCAACGCGAAAAACCUUACCUACCCUUGACAUGCCAGGAACUUGCCAGAGAUGGCUUGGUGCCCGAAAGGGAGCCUGGACACAGGUGCUGCAUGGCUGUCGUCAGCUCGUGUCGUGGGAUGUUGGGUUAAGUCCCGCAACGAGCGCAACCCUUGUCGUUAAUUGCCAUCAUUUAGUUGGGCACUUUAACGAGACUGCCGGUGACAAACCGGAGGAAGGUGGGGAUGACGUCAAGUCCUCAUGGCCCUUAUGGGUAGGGCUUCACACGUCAUACAAUGGUCGGUACAAAGGGUUGCCAAGCCGCGAGGCGGAGCCAAUCCCAGAAAGCCGAUCGUAGUCCGGAUUGCAGGCUGCAACUCGCCUGCAUGAAGUCGGAAUCGCUAGUAAUCGUGGAUCAGCAUGUCACGGUGAAUACGUUCCCGGGUCUUGUACACACCGCCCGUCACACCAUGGGAGCGGGUUCCGCCAGAAGUAGGUAGCCUAACCGCAAGGGGGGCGCUUACCACGGCGGGGUUCGUGACU